AGUGAACGCUGGCGGUAGGCCUAACACAUGCAAGUCGAACGGCAGCACAGUAAGAGCUUGCUCUUACGGGUGGCGAGUGGCGGACGGGUGAGGAAUACAUCGGAAUCUACUUUUUCGGGGGGGAUAACGUAGGGAAACUGACGCUAAUACCGCAUACGACCUACGGGUGAAAGCAGGGGAUCUUCGGACCUUGCGCGAUUGAAAGAGCCGAUGUCGGAUUAGCUAGUUGGCGGGGUAAAGGCCCACCAAGGCGACGAUCCGUAGCUGGUCUGAGAGGAUGAUCAGCCACACUGGAACUGAGACACGGUCCAGACUCCUACGGGAGGCAGCAGUGGGGAAUCUUGGACAAUGGGCGCAAGCCUGAUCCAGCCAUACCGCGUGGGUGAAGAAGGCCUUCGGGUUGUAAAGCCCUUUUGUUGGGAAAGAAAAGCAGCAGGUUAAUACCCCGAUGUUCUGACGGUACCCAAAGAAUAAGCCCCGGCUAACUUCGUG
rnacentral:rRNA from 1 species